AUUGUACUCCCUCCGUCUGAAAAUACUUGUCAUCAAAAUAAAUAAAAAGGGAUGUAUCUAGAACUAAUAUACGUCUAGAUACAUCCCCUUUUAUUCAUUUUGAUGACAAGUAUUUUCGGACGGAGGGAGUAUUAC
rnacentral:pre_miRNA from 1 species